GAUGAACGCUGGCGGCGUGCCUAAUACAUGCAAGUCGAGCGAACGGACGAGACGCUUGCUUUUCUGAUGUUAGCGGCGGACGGGUGAGUAACACGUGGAUAACCUACCUAUAAGACUGGUAUAACUUCGGGACACCGGCGCUAAUACCGGAUAAUAUUUUGCACCGCAUGGUUCAAUAGUGAGAGACGGUCUUGCUGUCACUUAUCGAUGGAUCCGGGCUGCAUUAGCUAGUUGGUAAGGUCACGGCUUACCAAGGCAACGAUGCAUAGCCGACCUGAGAGGGUGGUAGGCGACACGGGAACUGAGACACGGUCAAGACUCCUAAGGGAGGCAGCAGUAGGGAAUCUUCCGCAAUGGGCGAAAGCCUGACGGAGCAACGCCGCGUGAGUGAUGAAGGUCUUCGGAUCGUAAAACUCUGUUAUUAGGGAAGAACAUAUGUGUAAGUAACUGUGCACAGCGUGACGGUACCUAAUCAGAAAGCCACGGCUAACUACGUG
rnacentral:rRNA from 1 species